UUAAGCGACUAAGCGUACACGGUGGAUGCCCUGGCAGUCAGAGGCGAUGAAGGACGUGCUAAUCUGCGAAAAGCGUCGGUAAGGUGAUAUGAACCGUUAUAACCGGCGAUGUCCGAAUGGGGAAACCCAGUGCAAUUCGUUGCACUAUCGUUAACUGAAUACAUAGGUUAACGAGGCGAACCGGGGGAACUGAAACAUCUAAGUACCCCGAGGAAAAGAAAUCAACCGAGAUUCCCCCAGUAGCGGCGAGCGAACGGGGAGCAGCCCAGAGUCUGAAUCAGCUUGUGUGUUAGUGGAACGGUCUGGAAAGUCCGACGGUACAGGGUGAUAGUCCCGUACACCAAAAUGCACAGGUUGUGAACUCGAAGAGUAGGGCGGGACACGUGGUAUCCUGUCUGAAUAUGGGGGGACCAUCCUCCAAGGCUAAAUACUCCUGACUGACCGAUAGUGAACCAGUACCGUGAGGGAAAGGCGAAAAGAACCCCGGCGAGGGGAGUGAAAAAGAACCUGAAACCGUGUACGUACAAGCAGUGGGAGCACCUUCGGGUGUGACUGCGUACCUUUUGUAUAAUGGGUCAGCGACUUAUAUUCUGUAGCAAGGUUAACCGUAUAGGGGAGCCGCAGGGAAACCGAGUCUUAACUGGGCGUUAAGUUGCAGGGUAUAGACCCGAAACCCGGUGAUCAGCCAUGGGCAGGUUGAAGGUUGGGUAACACUAACUGGAGGACCGAACCGACUAAUGUUGAAAAAUUAGCGGAUGACUUGUGGCUGGGGGUGAAAGGCCAAUCAAACCGGGAGAUAGCUGGUUCUCCCCGAAAGCUAUUUAGGUAGCGCCUCGUGAACUCAUCUUCGGGGGUAGAGCACUGUUUCGGCUAGGGGGUCAUCCCGACUUACCAACCCGAUGCAAACUACGAAUACCGAAGAAUGUUAUCACGGGAGACACACGGCGGGUGCUAACGUCCGUCGUGAAGAGGGAAACAACCCAGACCGCCAGCUAAGGUCCCAAAGUCAUGGUUAAGUGGGAAACGAUGUGGGAAGGCACAGACAGCCAGGAUGUUGGCUUAGAAGCAGCCAUCAUUUAAAGAAAGCGUAAUAGCUCACUGGUCGAGUCGGCCUGCGCGGAAGAUGUAACGGGGCUAAACCAUGCACCGAAGCUGCGGCAGCGACACUAUGUGUUGUUGGGUAGGGGAGCGUUCUGUAAGCCUGCGAAGGUGUGCUGUGAGGCAUGCUGGAGGUAUCAGAAGUGCGAAUGCUGACAUAAGUAACGAUAAAGCGGGUGAAAAGCCCGCUCGCCGGAAGACCAAGGGUUCCUGUCCAACGUUAAUCGGGGCAGGGUGAGUCGACCCCUAAGGCGAGGCCGAAAGGCGUAGUCGAUGGGAAACAGGUUAAUAUUCCUGUACUUGGUGUUACUGCGAAGGGGGGACGGAGAAGGCUAUGUUAGCCGGGCGACGGUUGUCCCGGUUUAAGCAUGUAGGCUGAUUGUCCAGGCAAAUCCGGAUAAUCAAGGCUGAGGUGUGAUGACGAGGCACUACGGUGCUGAAGUAACAAAUGCCCUGCUUCCAGGAAAAGCCUCUAAGCAUCAGGUAACAUUAAAUCGUACCCCAAACCGACACAGGUGGUCAGGUAGAGAAUACCAAGGCGCUUGAGAGAACUCGGGUGAAGGAACUAGGCAAAAUGGUGCCGUAACUUCGGGAGAAGGCACGCUGGUGUGUAGGUGAAGUCCCUGCGGAUGGAGCUGAGACCAGUCGAAGAUACCAGCUGGCUGCAACUGUUUAUUAAAAACACAGCACUGUGCAAACACGAAAGUGGACGUAUACGGUGUGACGCCUGCCCGGUGCCGGAAGGUUAAUUGAUGGGGUUAUCCGUAAGGAGAAGCUCUUGAUCGAAGCCCCGGUAAACGGCGGCCGUAACUAUAACGGUCCUAAGGUAGCGAAAUUCCUUGUCGGGUAAGUUCCGACCUGCACGAAUGGCGUAAUGAUGGCCAGGCUGUCUCCACCCGAGACUCAGUGAAAUUGAACUCGCUGUGAAGAUGCAGUGUACCCGCGGCAAGACGGAAAGACCCCGUGAACCUUUACUAUAGCUUGACACUGAACAUUGAGCCUUGAUGUGUAGGAUAGGUGGGAGGCUUUGAAGCGUGGACGCCAGUCUGCGUGGAGCCAACCUUGAAAUACCACCCUUUAAUGUUUGAUGUUCUAACGUUGGCCCCUGACCGGGGUUGCGGACAGUGUCUGGUGGGUAGUUUGACUGGGGCGGUCUCCUCCCAAAGCGUAACGGAGGAGCACGAAGGUUAGCUAAUCCUGGUCGGACAUCAGGAGGUUAGUGCAAUGGCAUAAGCUAGCUUGACUGCGAGCGUGACGGCGCGAGCAGGUGCGAAAGCAGGUCAUAGUGAUCCGGUGGUUCUGAAUGGAAGGGCCAUCGCUCAACGGAUAAAAGGUACUCCGGGGAUAACAGGCUGAUACCGCCCAAGAGUUCAUAUCGACGGCGGUGUUUGGCACCUCGAUGUCGGCUCAUCACAUCCUGGGGCUGAAGUAGGUCCCAAGGGUAUGGCUGUUCGCCAUUUAAAGUGGUACGCGAGCUGGGUUUAGAACGUCGUGAGACAGUUCGGUCCCUAUCUGCCGUGGGCGCUGGAGAAUUGAGGGGGGCUGCUCCUAGUACGAGAGGACCGGAGUGGACGCAUCACUGGUGUUCGGGUUGUCAUGCCAAUGGCACUGCCCGGUAGCUAAAUGCGGAAGAGAUAAGUGCUGAAAGCAUCUAAGCACGAAACUUGCCCCGAGAUGAGUUCUCCCUGAGACUUUAAGUCUCCUGAAGGAACGUUGAAGACGACGACGUUGAUAGGCCGGGUGUGUAAGCGCAGCGAUGCGUUGAGCUAACCGGUACUAAUGAACCGUGAGGCUUAACCU
rnacentral:rRNA from 1 species